rnacentral:rRNA from 1 species
GACGAACGCUGGCGGCGUGCUUAACACAUGCAAGUCGAACGGAAAGGCCCAGCUUGCUGGGUGCUCGAGUGGCGAACGGGUGAGUAACACGUGGGUGAUCUGCCCCUAACUUCGGGAUAAGCUUGGGAAACUGGGUCUAAUACCGGAUCGGACAAUCGUUUAGUGUCGGUUGUGGAAAGUUUUUUCGGUUAGGGAUGAGCCCGCGGCCUAUCAGCUUGUUGGUGGGGUAAUGGCCUACCAAGGCGUCGACGGGUAGCCGGCCUGAGAGGGUGGACGGCCACAUUGGGACUGAGAUACGGCCCAGACUCCUACGGGAGGCAGCAGUGGGGAAUAUUGCACAAUGGGCGCAAGCCUGAUGCAGCGACGCCGCGUGGGGGAUGACGGCCUUCGGGUUGUAAACCUCUUUCGACAGGGACGAAGCUUUGGUGACGGUACCUGUAUAAGAAGCACCGGCUAACUACGUG